GACGAGGGAUCCUAGCGUUGUUCGGAAUCAUUGGGCGUAAAGCGGGUGUAGGUGGCUUUGUAAGUCAGAUGUGAAAGCCUGGGGCUCAACCCCAGAAGUGCAUUUGAUACUGCGAAGCUUGAGUGUCGGAGAGGUUACUAGAAUUCUUGGUGUAGUGGUGAAAUACGUAGAUAUCAAGAGGAAUACCGGAGGCGAAGGCGGGUAACUGGCCGAACACUGACACUGAGACCCGAAAGCGUGGGGAUCAAACAGG
rnacentral:rRNA from 1 species